GCCCGGGUGGCGGAAUUGGUAGACGCACCGGACUCAAAAUCCGGCGGUGGCAACACCAUGCGAGUUCGAGUCUCGCCCCGGGCACCA
rnacentral:tRNA from 2 species